GUGGGGAAUAUUGGACAAUGGGCGAAAGCCUGAUCCAGCCAUGCCGCGUGUGUGAAGAAGGUCUUCGGAUUGUAAAGCACUUUAAGUUGGGAGGAAGGGCAGUAAGUUAAUACCUUGCUGUUUUGACGUUACCGACAGAAUAAGCACCGGCUAACUUCGUGCCAGAAGCCGCGGUAAUACGAAGGGUGCAAGCGUUAAUCGGAAUUACUGGGCGUAAAGCGCGCGUAGGUGGUUUUGUAAGUUGGAGGUGAAAUCCCCGGGCUCAACCUGGGAACUGCCUCCAAAACUGCAUGACUAGAGUACGGUAGAGGGUAGUGGAAUUUCCUGUGUAGCGGUGAAAUGCGUAGAUAUAGGAAGGAACACCAGUGGCGAAGGCGACUACCUGGACUGAUACUGACACUGAGGUGCGAAAGCGUGGGGAGCAAACAGGAUUAGAUACCCCAGUAGUCC
rnacentral:rRNA from 1 species